rnacentral:ncRNA from 2 species
UGAAUCCGCGCGGGAGAGUUCCCAGCACGGCGUCGCACGACGCCCUGGGGCGCCGAAGGAGCAAGUUCCUCCCUUGAAUCUCUCAGGCCCCGUACCGCGCGGGCGAG